rnacentral:pre_miRNA from 1 species
UUUUUACUCCCUCCGUUCCAAAUUACUUGUCGCAAAUAUGGAUGUAUCUAGAUACAUUUUAGUUCUAGAUACAUCAAUUUCUGCGACGAGUAAUUUGAAACGGAGAGAGUACUUU